rnacentral:tRNA from 1 species
GGCCAUAGCUCAGUGAUAGAGUGCUUGCCUGGCACACAUGAAGCCCUGGGUUUAUUUCCCAGUGCCA